rnacentral:rRNA from 1 species
AUUGAACGCUGGCGGCAGGCCUAACACAUGCAAGUCGGGCGGUAGCACAGGAGAGCUUGCUCUCUGGGUGACGAGCGGCGGACGGGUGAGUAAUGUCUGGGAAACUGCCUGAUGGAGGGGGAUAACUACUGGAAACGGUAGCUAAUACCGCAUAACGUCGCAAGACCAAAGAGGGGGACCUUCGGGCCUCUUGCCAUCGGAUGUGCCCAGAUGGGAUUAGCUAGUAGGUGAGGUAAAGGCUCACCUAGGCGACGAUCCCUAGCUGGUCUGAGAGGAUGACCAGCCACACUGGAACUGAGACACGGUCCAGACUCCUACGGGAGGCAGCAGUGGGGAAUAUUGCACAAUGGGCGCAAGCCUGAUGCAGCCAUGCCGCGUGUAUGAAGAAGGCCUUCGGGUUGUAAAGUACUUUCAACGGGGAGGAAGGUGUUGUGGUUAAUAACCGCAGCAAUUGACGUUACCCGCAGAAGAAGCACCGGCUAACUCCGUGCCAGCCGCCGCAGUAA